GACGAACGCUGGCGGCGUGCCUAAUACAUGCAAGUAGAACGCUGAAGGAGGAGCUUGCUUCUCUGGAUGAGUUGCGAACGGGUGAGUAACGCGUAGGUAACCUGCCUGGUAGCGGGGGAUAACUAUUGGAAACGAUAGCUAAUACCGCAUAAUAGUAGAUGUUGCAUGACAUUUGCUUAAAAGGUGCAAUUGCAUCACUACCAGAUGGACCUGCGUUGUAUUAGCUAGUUGGUGAGGUAACGGCUCACCAAGGCGACGAUACAUAGCCGACCUGAGAGGGUGAUCGGCCACACUGGGACUGAGACACGGCCCAGACUCCUACGGGAGGCAGCAGUAGGGAAUCUUCGGCAAUGGACGGAAGUCUGAACGAGCAACGCCGCGGGAGUGAAGAAGGGUUUCGGAUCGUAAAGCUCUGUUGUAAGAGAAGAACGAGUGUGAGAGUGGAAAGUUCACACUGUGACGGUAUCUUACCAGAAAGGGACGGCUAACUACGUG
rnacentral:rRNA from 1 species